rnacentral:rRNA from 1 species
GAACGGGUGAGUAACACGUGAGUAACCUGCCCUUGACUCUGGGAUAAGCCUGGGAAACUGGGUCUAAUACCGGAUACGACCAUCUGACGCAUGUCAUGGUGGUGGAAAGCUUUUGUGGUUUUGGAUGGACUCGCGGCCUAUCAGCUUGUUGGUGGGGUAAUGGCCUACCAAGGCGACGACGGGUAGCCGGCCUGAGAGGGUGACCGGCCACACUGGGACUGAGACACGGCCCAGACUCCUACGGGAGGCAGCAGUGGGGAAUAUUGCACAAUGGGCGAAAGCCUGAUGCAGCGACGCCGCGUGAGGGAUGACGGCCUUCGGGUUGUAAACCUCUUUCAGUAGGGAAGAAGCGAAAGUGACGGUACCUGCAGAAGAAGCGCCGGCUAACUACGUGCCAGCAGCCGCGGUAAUACGUAGGGCGCAAGCGUUAUCCGGAAUUAUUGGGCGUAAAGAGCUCGUAGGCGGUUUGUCGCGUCUGCUGUGAAAGACCGGGGCUCAACUCCGGUUCUGCAGUGGGUACGGGCAGACUAGAGUGCAGUAGGGGAGACUGGAAUUCCUGGUGUAGCGGUGAAAUGCGCAGAUAUCAGGAGGAACACCGAUGGCGAAGGCAGGUCUCUGGGCUGUAACUGACGCUGAGGAGCGAAAGCAUGGGGAGCGAACAGGAUUAGAUACCCUGGUAGUCCAUGCCGUAAACGUUGGGCACUAGGUGUGGGGGACAUUCCACGUUUUCCGCGCCGUAGCUAACGCAUUAAGUGCCCCGCCUGGGGAGUACGGCCGCAAGGCUAAAACUCAAAGGAAUUGACGGGGGCCCGCACAAGCGGCGGAGCAUGCGGAUUAAUUCGAUGCAACGCGAAGAACCUUACCAAGGCUUGACAUGAACCGGAAAGACCUGGAAACAGGUGCCCCGCUUGCGGUCGGUUUACAGGUGGUGCAUGGUUGUCGUCAGCUCGUGUCGUGAGAUGUUGGGUUAAGUCCCGCAACGAGCGCAACCCUCGUUCUAUGUUGCCAGCGCGUUAUGGCGGGGACUCAUAGGAGACUGCCGGGGUCAACUCGGAGGAAGGUGGGGACGACGUCAAAUCAUCAUGCCCCUUAUGUCUUGGGCUUCACGCAUGCUACAAUGGCCGGUACAAAGGGUUGCGAUACUGUGAGGUGGAGCUAAUCCCAAAAAGCCGGUCUCAGUUCGGAUUGGGGUCUGCAACUCGACCCCAUGAAGUCGGAGUCGCUAGUAAUCGCAGAUCAGCAACGCUGCGGUGAAUACGUUCCCGGGCCUUGUACACACCGCCCGUCAAGUCACGAAAGUUGGUAACACC